AGUGAACGCUGGCGGCGUGCUUAACACAUGCAAGUCGAACGGUAACAGGAAGCAGCUUGCUGCCUCGCUGACGAGUGGCGGACGGGUGAGUAAUGUCUGGGAAACUGCCUGAUGGAGGGGGAUAACUACUGGAAACGGUAGCUAAUACCGCAUAACGUCGCAAGACCAAAGAGGGGGACCUUCGGGCCUCUUGCCAUCGGAUGUGCCCAGAUGGGAUUAGCUAGUAGGUGGGGUAACGGCUCACCUAGGCGACGAUCCCUAGCUGGUCUGAGAGGAUGACCAGCCACACUGGAACUGAGACACGGUCCAGACUCCUACGGGAGGCAGCAGUGGGGAAUAUUGCACAAUGGGCGCAAGCCUGAUGCAGCCAUGCCGCGUGUAUGAAGAAGGCCUUCGGGUUGUAAAGUACUUUCAGCGGGGAGGAAGGGAGUAAAGUUAAUACCUUUGCUCAUUGACGUUACCCGCAGAAGAAGCACCGGCUAACUCCGUGCCAGCAGCCGCAGUAA
rnacentral:rRNA from 1 species